AGGCUACUAACUCAAUUGGUAGAGCAUUGUGCCAAUGCACAAAGAUGUGGGUUCGACUCCCGCGUAGGUUU
rfam:Spinacia oleracea cultivar SynViroflay scaffold54107.con0001.1, whole genome shotgun sequence.